GGCUUGAUAUAGCUCAACUGGUUCAGCACUGCACCAGUAUCGCAGAGGUCAUGAGUUAGAUUCUCUCUCAAGCCU
rnacentral:tRNA from 1 species